UGUGGUUUUCCCUUCGGGGAACCGGGACACAGGUGCUGCAUGGCUGUCGUCAGCUCGUGUCGUGAGAUGUUGGGUUAAGUCCCGCAACGAGCGCAACCCUCGCCCUUAGUUGCCAGCAUUUGGUUGGGCACUCUAAGGGGACUGCCGGUGAUAAGCCGAGAGGAAGGUGGGGAUGACGUCAAGUCCUCAUGGCCCUUACGGGCUGGGCUACACACGUGCUACAAUGGUGGUGACAGUGGGCAGCGAGCACGCGAGCGUGAGCUAAUCUCCAAAAGCCAUCUCAGUUCGGAUUGCACUCUGCAACUCGAGUGCAUGAAGUUGGAAUCGCUAGUAAUCGCAGAACAGCAGGCUGCGGUGAAUACGUUCCCGGGCCUUGUACACACCGCCCGUCACGGCAUGGGAGUUGGUUUUACCCGAAGACGGUGCGCUAACCCGCAAGGGAGGCAGCCGGCCACGGUAGGAUCAGCGACUGGGCCGAAGUCGUAACAAGGUAGCCGUAA
rnacentral:rRNA from 1 species